rnacentral:lncRNA from 1 species
CCGGUGGCAGCUUCGACCCAUUAGGCCUUGCUGAAGACCCCGAGGCAUUUGCUGAGCUCAAGGUAAAGGAGAUUAAGAACGGCAGACUUGCUAUGUUCUCUAUGUUCGGAUUCUUUGUUCAGGCCAUUGUUACCGGAAAGGGUCCAUUGGAGAACCUUGCUGACCACCUUGCAGACCCCGUUAACAACAACGCUUGGGCUUUCGCCACAAACUUUGUCCCCGGAAAAUGAAUAUCAUAAUAUAUUUUUUGAAUUUUGAUUGUUUGAUGGCCCUGUAAAGUAGUUGUGACUUCAUAGAAUGGAUUUUUUUUUCAAAAUUCCUAUGAUUGUGUAGUUCUGAGUUACAUUUUCCAAAGCUAUGAAUCAAAUAUUGCCACUUUCAUACCAAAGGGGAAAUUAAAGAAAGAGAACAGAACAAAAAAGAGUGAAGAUACAUAUGAGAUGUGGUAACAAGAAAAACUUUAAAGCUGUUGUAAGCUUAAAACUUGAAUUUUUAGACCAGAGGAACUUAUGGAAUUCGAUUAAUUCUCGAGAAACAAUACUCAGAAUUAGUGUAAAGUACUAAUGUUGAACAACAUGAUUCCGCAUUGUUUCAUUUCACUACCAGAGCAUUGAAAUUUCAAAGACAAGGGAAGGAAACCAGUAUGUUUUGUAGUCUGAAUGUAUUAAGUAAUAUAUAAGUUUCCAGGUCCAUACAGUAUGUGUCCUUUACACAAAUUCAUAAGUUUCUUGUACAAUCCUCCUUCCUCAUGUGGUACUAUCUUUAGAUUAAAAGCAUCAUUGACAGAUCCUUCAAAACAAGGUACAUAAUAAUGACCAGAGCCAACGGACAUACAUAUGUAGUUAGAAGAAGACACAAGUUUAUGCAAAAUAUGACACUUUUUGACAACAAAUUCAAGUUCUACGCACUAAUAACAUAAACAAUAUUUACACAAUCAAAUUUCUAAGUAAGUAAUUAAAGGCAAAUCACUUGAUAACAUUAAUCUGUAGUCUGGUAAAAAAUGUGAAUUGACCUACUAUCACAUGUUAAAGUUUACUAAUGUAAUUUCUUUUUCCCUUAACACAGCCAAAAUUGUGAUGCUGAUGAAUUCCAACAAAUUAAAAUCUUUGCUCAUAUUCUUCGGAACAAGCUCUUUCCAAGUCUCAGCAUUGCUCAUGUAGUAUUGUGAAUGAGCAUAAUGCAAUAUAACCUGUUUGGCUAACAUAAACAACUUUGCUAAUUAGGGUUUAAUAUAAUAAAGUUUCAAUCACAUUGCUUUCUGAACAUAAAGAUGCAUUAUUAAGUUCCCAAAAUAUAUGAAUCAAGUAGUAAUUAGUUUCAACUACUCCUCAAAUUUCCUAAACCAUAACUCUACAUUGAAUGAUAGUAUAGUGGUGGUAUAUUUUACCCUGCAGGAGAAAAUAUCUACAAAAAUGGCAAGUGGAUAAUGAUAGGGAUAUCAUAUUGUAAGCUCAACAAAUCACAGGGCAGAUUCCAAUCCUUGUGGCAACAUAUGAGAGGACAAUAUUGGAUGUAUCCCUUGUUCGGAAAAUUGAUGGAUUGGAGAUUGCUAAAUGUGCAUACUUGCUACAAGUAGGAUCUCGAUAGCCAAUGAGAUCAUAGAUAUAGAUAUCACGAGAUAAGGACUCUUCCCCUCUUUCUUAAUCCCUAUAUAUGGUGAAUUAAUUCCCUUGUAACUUCAUCUCAUCACAGCCUUCAACAAUAUUUAAUACCAUAAAAUACUCAACACUUUUCUCUUAAUAUAAAUCAUGGCAGCUGCUACAAUGGCUCUUUCUUCCCCUUCAUUUGCUGGACAGGCAGUCAAACUCUCACCAUCUGCCUCAGAAAUUUCUGGAAAUGGAAGGAUCACUAUGAGAAAGGCUGUCGCCAAGUCUGCCCCAUCUAGCAGCCCAUGGUAUGGCCCUGACCGUGUUAAGUACUUGGGACCAUUCUCUGGUGAGUCACCAAGCUACUUGACUGGCGAAUUCCCUGGUGACUAUGGAUGGGAUACCGCUGGACUUUCAGCUGACCCUGAGACCUUUGCCAAGAACCGUGAACUUGAGGUGAUCCACUGCAGAUGGGCUAUGCUUGGUGCUCUUGGAUGUGUCUUCCCUGAGCUCUUGGCCCGUAAUGGUGUCAAAUUUGGUGAAGCUGUGUGGUUCAAGGCCGGUUCCCAGAUUUUCAGCGAGGGUGGACUUGACUACUUGGGCAACCCAAGCUUGGUCCAUGCACAAAGCAUCUUGGCCAUCUGGGCUUGUCAAGUUGUACUGAUGGGAGCUGUUGAGGGUUACCGUAUUGCUGGUGGACCUCUUGGUGUGGUUGUCGACCCACUCUACCCAGGUGGCAGCUUCGACCCAUUAGGCCUUGCUGAAGACCCGGAGGCAUUUGCUGAGCUCAAGGUAAAGGAGAUUAAGAACGGCAGACUUGCUAUGUUCUCUAUGUUUGGAUUCUUUGUUCAAGCCAUUGUUACCGGAAAGGGUCCAUUGGAGAAUCUUGCUGACCACCUUGCAGAUCCAGUUAACAACAAUGCAUGGGCCUUUGCCACAAACUUUGUUCCCGG